CUCAUGUUUACAAAGAUUUAAACUUCUUUGUUAUGUUUAUUCCUCAACUUCGGUUUACAAAAUCUGUAUUAACCGCACAUUACAAUUGUUUUAUUUAUGGAUAGGAUUAUGUACAGCAUUCAACCCUUACAGCAAAAAAAAAUGAAGUUUGUCUAGUCCCAGGUGUUGUGAUUUUAACAAAUUAUAUUGCCCUGUCUGAACAGAUAUUCUAUACUAUUCACUCCGAUAUACAAUAAAUACUACAUUCCGUACUGUUUCUUCCAAUUGGCAGUUAAACCCCUGAAAAAAUAAAUUGGGGCGUCCGUUUGGUUUUGUGGGAUGUACACUUUCGCAGCCACAUCCGGGCAUUAUUGGAAGGUUGAAUUUAUUGCUCAGUGUAAUGCGAGGGCCAAGUUAUUCGCAUGCUAAGAGACAUUAAAACAACUCUUUCCGUAGUGGCCGAAGGUGGCAUAUUACAAGGGCACUUCC
rnacentral:lncRNA from 1 species